ACGGGGAGCAGCCCAGAGCCUGAAUCAGUGUGUGUGUUAGUGGAAGCGUCUGGAAAGGCGCGCGAUACAGGGUGACAGCCCCGUACACAAAAAUGCACAUACUGUGAGCUCGAUGAGUAGGGCGGGACACGUGGUAUCCUGUCUGAAUAUGGGGGGACCAUCCUCCAAGGCUAAAUACUCCUGACUGACCGAUAGUGAACCAGUACCGUGAGGGAAAGGCGAAAAGAACCCCGGCGAGGGGAGUGAAAAAGAACCUGAAACCGUGUACGUACAAGCAGUGGGAGCACAGAGCAAUCUGUGUGACUGCGUACCUUUUGUAUAAUGGGUCAGCGACUUAUAUUCUGUAGCAAGGUUAACCGAAUAGGGGAGCCGAAGGGAAACCGAGUCUUAACUGGGCGUUAAGUUGCAGGGUAUAGACCCGAAACCCGGUGAUCUAGCCAUGGGCAGGUUGAAGGUUGGGUAACACUAACUGGAGGACCGAACCGACUAAUGUUGAAAAAUUAGCGGAUGACUUGUGGCUGGGGGUGAAAGGCCAAUCAAACCGGGAGAUAGCUGGUUCUCCCCGAAAGCUAUUUAGGUAGCGCCUCGUGAAUUCAUCUCCGGGGGUAGAGCACUGUUUCGGCAAGGGGGUCAUCCCGACUUACCAACCCGAUGCAAACUGCGAAUACCGGAGAAUGUUAUCACGGGAGACACACGGCGGGUGCUAACGUCCGUCGUGAAGAGGGAAACAACCCAGACCGCCAGCUAAGGUCCCAAAGUCAUGGUUAAGUGGGAAACGAUGUGGGAAGGCCCAGACAGCCAGGAUGUUGGCUUAGAAGCAGCCAUCAUUUAAAGAAAGCGUAAUAGCUCACUGGUCGAGUCGGCCUGCGCGGAAGAUGUAACGGGGCUAAACCAUGCACCGAAGCUGCGGCAGCGACGCUGAUGCGUUGUUGGGUAGGGGAGCGUUCUGUAAGCCUGUGAAGGUGUACUGUGAGGUAUGCUGGAGGUAUCAGAAGUGCGAAUGCUGACAUAAGUAACGAUAAAGCGGGUGAAAAGCCCGCUCGCCGGAAGACCAAGGGUUCCUGUCCAACGUUAAUCGGGGCAGGGUGAGUCGACCCCUAAGGCGAGGCCGAAAGGCGUAGUCGAUGGGAAACAGGUUAAUAUUCCUGUACUUGGUGUUACUGCGAAGGGGGGACGGAGAAGGCUAUGUUGGCCGGGCGACGGUUGUCCCGGUUUAAGCGUGUAGGCUGGUUUUCCAGGCAAAUCCGGAAAAUCAAGGCUGAGGCGUGAUGACGAGGCACUACGGUGCUGAAGCAACAAAUGCCCUGCUUCCAGGAAAAGCCUCUAAGCAUCAGGUAACAUCAAAUCGUACCCCAAACCGACACAGGUGGUCAGGUAGAGAAUACCAAGGCGCUUGAGAGAACUCGGGUGAAGGAACUAGGCAAAAUGGUGCCGUAACUUCGGGAGAAGG
rnacentral:rRNA from 1 species